rnacentral:misc_RNA from 1 species
GAUGAAGAACGCAGCGAAAUGCGAUAAGUAAUGUGAAUUGCAGAAUUCAGUGAAUCAUCGAAUCUUUGAACGCACAUUGCGCCCGCCAGUAUUCUGGCGGGCAUGCCUGUUCGAGCGUCAUUUGUACCUUCAAGCUUUGCUUGGUGUUGGGUGUUUGUCCAUUCUCUUGCAGAGGGACUCGCCUUAAAGUAAUUGGCAGCCAGUGUUUUGGUUUUGAAGCGCAGCACAAGUCGCGAUUCAAAGCUAUACGCCCGCUUCCACAAGCCUUUUUCACUUUUGACCUCGGAUCAGGUAGGGAUACCCGCUGAACUUAAGCAUAUCAAUAAGCGGAGGA